rnacentral:misc_RNA from 1 species
CAGAGUUCAUGCCCUAACGGGUAGAUCUCCCACCCUAUGUUAUUUUACAUUGUUGCUUCGGCGAGCCGCUUCGGCCACCGGCUUCGGCUGGUGAGUGCUCGCCAGAAGACCCCCAAACUCUGAAUAUUAUUGUCGUCUGAGUACUAUAUAAUAGUUA